rnacentral:lncRNA from 1 species
AAAACACCGCAGGAAAGCUGCCAAAGGUGAUAUUCUACCGAUUCCCCUGGAGGAAGUACGAAAAUGACAGAAGAGGACAGUGGAUCAGGGCUGUGCAACGAACAAGGCCGGAGAGGCAGCUUUGGCAGCCUGUGCGGGGCGAGACUCGCAUAUGCAGCGCGCACUUCGUGGGAAA